AGCAAGUGCCUCGUUUACGGUAUCGGCUCAGAAACAAUUGAAACAAUACCUAGCAAAACCAAUAGUGAACCGUACCCAAACAAAGGCGAUGUCGACGUGGCUGGAGGUGUCGAAUUAGAAGACGGGACGAUGUCAUAGAUCUGGGUGUAGUAGUUUGUGGUGUAAGUGUGAACUCACUGAGCAUUUCUUAGGUUCUUUGCAACGAUUGGCCCAAUUGCUGUCACUAGAGCAGGGAAAACAUAUUUGUCGAGUGCGUGGCCACUUGGUAUAUUCUCCGAUCUUGACGAUGCACUGAAU